AAGGGCCUGCCAUGUACAUAAGGAGUGUCUUUGUGAUCCCGGUCGAUCCCAUGUCCAACUGCUUGGGACCCACUUGUUAUUUCUUUGCCUAAUUUGAUUCCAUGCGGAUGUGGCACUAAAUUUGCCAUUGUCAUGAGGCCAAAUAAGUAUAUCUGAAGAGUUGUUCCUGAUUGGAAUAGCUAUGAUAGUCGGCCAAAGUGAUAACAUUUCGGGAGAAAUAGGAUUAGGGAGACACCAGGUGCCGUUAGCAAUGAACUUGGAAACCUUCCAAUCUUUGGGAGCCCUAAGAUCUUUUCGUAUUCUG
rnacentral:lncRNA from 1 species